GUUGAACGCUGGCGGCAUGCGUAACACAUGCAAGUCGAACGGUGUUUGGUGCUUGCACCAGACAUAGUGGCGGACGGGUGAGUAAUGCGUAGGAAUCUGUCUUAGAGAGGGGGACAACCCGAGGAAACUUGGGCUAAAACCGCAUAUUCUCGAGAGAGGAAAGCAGGGGACCGGAAACGGCCUUGUGCUCUAAGGUGAGCCUACGUCGGAUUAGCUAGUUGGUAGGGUAAAAGCCUACCAAGGCGAUGAUCUGUAGCUGGUCUGAGAGGACGGACAGCCACACUGGGACUGAGACACGGCCCAGACUCCUACGGGAGGCAGCAGUGGGGAAUAUUGGACAAUGGGGGGAACCCUGAUCCAGCGAUGCCGCGUGUGUGAAGAAGGCCUGCGGGUUGUAAAGCACUUUCAGUGGGAAAGAGAAGCGUCUUGUGAAUAAUGGGACGUGGAGACGUUACUCACAGAAGAAGCACCGGCUAACUCUGUGCCAGCAGCCGCGGUAAU
rnacentral:rRNA from 1 species